CAGGAGAGCUGCUUCAGAAGCUCCGAUUUGGCAGCCAGAUCUUCAUCGAGCACGUGGCCGAUGUGAUGUAACUGGGCGCCUGUACACCAUCUGUCAACCCUGCCCAUGAAGACGGAGUGGGGAAGAGAAGCCCCAGGCGGGUGGCAAGGGCCUCCUCUGGGCUGGGGGCCCCUGACCAGCUGCCCCAGGAGACCACCGCCCUGAGAAGGAUGGGACCUGCUCUCCAGGCUGCUGCCCUGGUGAGAUAGCCGUGUUGGUUUCACCCUUGCCUCUGAGGGGAAGAUGGCCCUCACUAGGGGCACAGGGGCUCCACCUGGCCAAGGCCUGCUGGGCACCCAGCUCAGACAGGCGACCUCAGAUCCUUGACCACUGCCUGGCUGCUGGCUUCCCUGCAGACACUGGCUGGGCUUGGAGGAGGGACCCAUGGCAGGGCCUUGCAGAGAGCAGGGGCCACUCACCGGGGGCCAGUGGAGUCUGUCCUGCGCCAAGAAGCAGGCAAGAGAGGCUGGGACCCAUCCCUGCAGCUGGGGCAGCAGUGCUGUGAGCUGUCAGUGCUUAGUUUAUAGAGAUCAUCCUGGGAGGGAGAAGUGAUGAAGUAGAAAAGAUGCAGAAGAUGGGAAGUUUGGG
rnacentral:sRNA from 1 species